AGAUUGGUCGAAAUUAUGUGACACAACAAGGCAAAGGAAAUGAGGAGUCGAAUAGAAUUCGGAGCAAGUUGAACUGGACAGAGUCGGUAAUAGCCCAAAAUAUUUUGAAGAAACUCCAAAAUCGAGAAUCGAAGGUCAGCCCGAAGGUUUUCAACAUAGAAAGCAACUUGAUCUGGAGGAGAAAAAGUUAUCCGACCAUCCGGACC
rnacentral:lncRNA from 1 species